rnacentral:rRNA from 1 species
UACAGAGGUCCCAAGCGUUGUUCGGAUUCACUGGGCGUAAAGGGUGCGUAGGUGGUGAGGUAAGUCUGAUGUGAAAUCCCGCAGCUCAACUGCGGAACUGCAUCGGAUACUAUCUUGCUAGAGGGUUUGAGGGGGGACUGGAAUUCUCGGUGUAGCAGUGAAAUGCGUAGAUAUCGAGAGGAACACCAGUGGCGAAGGCGAGUCCCUGGAAAACUCCUGACACUGAGACACGAAGGCCAGGGGAGCGAAACGGG